UAAAGUUUGGCAUAGUAAAAAUCUUAGUGUUCUUCAGUCAUCAUGUUUCUCUCAGUUACUAAAGCUUGAAAAUUGUGUGACAGUUGCUCCGAGGUUUCUGAGGCAGCCGGCCAACGCUCUCGCCUAUGAGAAGGAGAACGUGGAGCUGGAGUGCAGCGUGUACGGCCAGCCAGAGCCCUCGCUCCACUGGCUCAAGAACGGCGAGCUGCUGGUGGAGACGGAAUACCUUCAGAGAACGCGUCCAGAACGUGAGUGCAGCUCCUCCAGCGAGGGACGGGAUGAAUACAAGACCCAGAUCAGCGACCUAAGUCCCGGGAGUAACUACAUGGUGCGGGUGGCGGCCCACACCUCCGGCGGCCUGGUGGGCGCCUCCAUACACGAGGUGCGGGUGUUCACCAAGCCGGACCUGGACCUGCCCUCCGCCUCAGAGUCUGAAAGUUGUCUCCACCUCACCCACCAGUCUGGAGGCCACUUGGUCGCCGCCCGUACUGGCCAAAACGCCCAUCACGGGAUACACCAUGUUCUAUACGCAGUUUUCUCCUCAGGUUGGGUCAGCAGAAGAACACGAAGUAAAGGUCACUGGUACGUCACAUGACCUCCAAGGCCUGGACCAGUUCACUGAGCACAGCGUGUGGCUCACCGCCGUCAACAGUAAUGGCGGGGGAGACG